UGGGGAAUAUUGCACAAUGGGGGAAACCCUGAUGCAGCGACGCCGCGUGAGUGAAGAAGUAUUUCGGUAUGUAAAGCUCUAUCAGCAGGGAAGAAAAUGACGGUACCUGAUUAAGAAGCCCCGGCUAACUACGUGCCAGCAGCCGCGGUAAUACGUAGGGGGCAAGCGUUAUCCGGAUUUACUGGGUGUAAAGGGAGCGUAGACGGUGAUGCAAGUCAGAAGUGAAAGCCCGGGGCUCAACUCCGGGACUGCUUUUGAAACUGUGUGACUGGAGUGCAGGAGAGGUAAGCGGAAUUCCUGGUGUAGCGGUGAAAUGCGUAGAUAUCAGGAGGAACACCAGUGGCGAAGGCGGCUUACUGGACUGUAACUGACGUUGAGGCUCGAAAGCGUGGGGAGCAAACAGG
rnacentral:rRNA from 1 species